GACGAACGCUGGCGGCGUGCUUAACACAUGCAAGUCGAACGGAAAGGCCCUGCUUUUGUGGGGUGCUCGAGUGGCGAACGGGUGAGUAACACGUGAGUAACCUGCCCUUGACUUUGGGAUAACUUCAGGAAACUGGGGCUAAUACCGGAUAGGAGCUCCUGCUGCACGGUGGGGGUUGGAAAGUUUCGGCGGUUGGGGAUGGACUCGCGGCUUAUCAGCUUGUUGGUGGGGUAGUGGCUUACCAAGGGUUUGACGGGUAGCCGGCCUGAGAGGGUGACCGGCCACAUUGGGACUGAGAUACGGCCCAGACUCCUACGGGAGGCAGCAGUGGGGAAUAUUGCACAAUGGGCGGAAGCCUGAUGCAGCAACGCCGCGUGCGGGAUGCCGGCCUUCGGGUUGUAAACCGCUUUCGCCUGUGACGAAGCGUGAGUGACGGUAAUGGGUAAAGAAGCACCGGCUAACUACGUG
rnacentral:rRNA from 1 species